rnacentral:rRNA from 1 species
AAUAGAUACCCAGGUAGUCCACGCCGUAAACGAUGAGUGCUAAGUGUUGGAGGGUUUCCGCCCUUCAGUGCUGCAGCUAACGCAUUAAGCACUCCGCCUGGGGAGUACGGUCGCAAGACUGAAACUCAAAGGAAUUGACGGGGGCCCGCACAAGCGGUGGAGCAUGUGGUUUAAUUCGAAGCAACGCGAAGAACCUUACCAGGUCUUGACAUCUCCUGACCGCCCUGGAGACAGGGUCUUCCCUUCGGGGACAGGAUGACAGGUGGUGCAUGGUUGUCGUCAGCUCGUGUCGUGAGAUGUUGGGUUAAGUCCCGCAACGAGCGCAACCCUUGGUUCUAGUUGCCAGCAUUCAGUUGGGCACUCUAGAGCGACUGCCGGCGACAAGUCGGAGGAAGGUGGGGAUGACGUCAAAUCAUCAUGCCCCUUAUGACCUGGGCUACACACGUGCUACAAUGGAUGGUACAAAGGGCAGCGAAGCGGCGACGCAUGAGCGAAUCCCAGAAAACCAUUCUCAGUUCGG